GAUGAACGCUGGCGGCGUGCCUAAUACAUGCAAGUCGAGCGAACGGACGAGAAGCUUGCUUCUCUGAUGUUAGCGGCGGACGGGUGAGUAACACGUGGAUAACCUACCUAUAAGACUGGGAUAACUUCGGGAAACCGGAGCUAAUACCGGAUAAUAUUUUGAACCGCAUGGUUCAAAAGUGAAAGACGGUCUUGCUGUCACUUAUAGAUGGAUCCGCGCUGCAUUAGCUAGUUGGUAAGGUAACGGCUUACCAAGGCAACGAUGCAUAGCCGACCUGAGAGGGUGAUCGGCCACACUGGAACUGAGACACGGUCCAGACUCCUACGGGAGGCAGCAGUAGGGAAUCUUCCGCAAUGGGCGAAAGCCUGACGGAGCAACGCCGCGUGAGUGAUGAAGGUCUUCGGAUCGUAAAACUCUGUUAUUAGGGAAGAACAUAUGUGUAAGUAACUGCGCACAUCUUGACGGUACCUAAUCAGAAAGCCACGGCUAACUACGUGCCAGCAGCCGCGGUAAUACGUAGGUGGCAAGCGUUAUCCGGAAUUAUUGGGCGUAAAGCGCGCGUAGGCGGUUUUUUAAGUCUGAUGUGAAAGCCCACGGCUUCAACCGCGGGAGGGUCAUUGGAAACUGGAAAACUUGAGUGCAGAACAGGAAAGUGGAAUUCCAUGUGUAGCGGUGAAAUGCGCAGAGAUAUGGAGGAACACCAGUGGCGAAGGCGACUUUCUGGUCUGUAACUGACGCUGAUGUGCGAAAGCGUGGGGAUCAAACAGGAUUAGAUACCCUGGUAGUCCACGCCGUAAACGAUGAGUGCUAAGUGUUAGGGGGUUUCCGCCCCUUAGUGCUGCAGCUAACGCAUUAAGCACUCCGCCUGGGGAGUACGACCGCAAGGUUGAAACUCAAAGGAAUUGACGGGGACCCGCACAAGCGGUGGAGCAUGUGGUUUAAUUCGAAGCAACGUGAAGAACCUUACCAAAUCUUGACAUCCUUUGACAACUCUAGAGAUAGAGCCUUCCCCUUCGGGGGACAAAGUGACAGGUGGUGCAUGGUUGUCGUCAGCUCGUGUCGUGAGAUGUUGGGUUAAGUCCCGCAACGAGCGCAACCCUUAAGCUUAGUUGCCAUCAUUAAGUUGGGCACUCUAAGUUGACUGCCGGUGACAAACCGGAGGAAGGUGGGGAUGACGUCAAAUCAUCAUGCCCCUUAUGAUUUGGGCUACACACGUGCUACAAUGGACAAUACAAAGGGCAGCGAAACCGCGAGGUCAAGCAAAUCCCAUAAAGUUGUUCUCAGUUCGGAUUGUAGUCUGCAACUCGACUACAUGAAGCUGGAAUCGCUAGUAAUCGUAGAUCAGCAUGCUACGGUGAAUACGUUCCCGGGUCU
rnacentral:rRNA from 1 species